GAGAACUGAGCUGCGGCUGACCGACCUUCCGCCUGAAAAGCGGAAGGUCGGCGGUUCGACCCCGCCCCUGCCCACCA
rnacentral:tRNA from 1 species